UACGGGGGGAGCAAGCGUUGUUCGGAUUUACUGGGCGUAAAGGGCGCGUAGGCGGCCACCGCAAGUCGACUGUGAAAUCUCCGGGCUUAACCCGGAAAGGUCAGCCGAUACUGCUGUGGCUAGAGUCCGGUAGGGGAGCAUGGAAUUCCUGGUGUAGCGGUGAAAUGCGCAGAUAUCAGGAGGAACACCAGUGGCGAAGGCGGUGCUCUGGGCCGGAACUGACGCUGAGGAGCGAAAGCGUGGGGAGCAAACAGG
rnacentral:rRNA from 1 species